GCCUGUGCAGGUCGUGACGGGUCUUGCACACCUCCAACACAGCACCCUGGAAGGUCUCUCGUUGGAAGCUCAUGAACAGGAGGGGCUCUGGCCUGGACUAUCAUGGUGAGGGAGUGUUGCUGUGCUCGCCUCGCCGCCCAAAGACUCGGCGCCAGAUGACCCCGAUACUGUGACACAAGAUGGCCAGUUAGUCAGUCAGUCUUGCCUCUUGCAGCACAGAGGACCCUCAAGCUGGAACAAAAGGAACACGCCCUUAGGACCUCCUCGUCUUUCUCUAAGUGAUGUAUUGGUAUUAGUCAUAUAGAAAUGUUCUCUAAGUGAUGUAUUGGUCAUAUAGAAAUGUUGUUAAGUGAAAUGUAAUGGUUACUAGUAAUGUAAUUAUCGGUUGGGCAAUGUAAUAAUGAUUAAGUUAUGUAAUAAUAGUAAUAAGUAAUAAUGUAAUUAAUCAUAUAUAGUAAUAUAAAUGUGGUUAUACAGUUUUUUAUAAUCUGUAACAAGUCAGUAUUUGGAAGUGAUCAUUGAUUCGGUGUUUUUAUAUUUGUAUUAUAUCUUUCCAUUUUAUUAUGCCAGUCUUCUCUUUCUCUCUUACUUUGAUUUGUGAGCAGUCAGUAUUGGGAAGUCUGAUGAUUCUGUGCCUUAUAUUUGUAUAGUUAUAUAUUCUUUUGCACCAGUCUUUUAUGUAUUAAAUUCUUACAAUUGCUACUUUUUUGUAUGUAAUUUUGCCAAAGUAAACAUUUAAGGUUGUCCAAAUGAAA